UCCUGCGAUUAAAGGUGUGUACCACCACUGCCUGUCUUCUAUGGCUAACUAGUGGCUUAGUUCUGCAUUCUGAUCUUCAGGCAAGCUUUGUUAAAUUACAAACAAAAUGUCACUACACAAUUUUGGGAGAGACAACCCAUUGGCCACUUCUAAAUACAGUUUGCUUUAAUCAGACAGUUGUAGGUUGCUUCCCUGCCCCAGGUCUAAUACACAGCUGGUCUCAAAAUUGUUUUAAUAUACCUAUAUUGUUGUUUUACAUAUGUGAUAAUAAACUAUAGUACAUUGAAAGUCAGGUAUUUGUCCUAUAGUGUAUCAUUUAAUGUUGACGACACCCAAUAAGGAAAGUUUGCUAUUACUCUUUUAAGCUUAGUGAGAAAAAUUUACUUUGCCAAGGGCACAAAUGACUUUCCUAAACUCCAAGUCAUGAACAUCUGUCUGAGUCCCAAAGCCAUAGUUUUCACUAGCCUACACUGCAUCUUACCUGCUGUGAUUUUGGACACUUUAUAUAUCAACAAUCAUCUAUCUUACUCUUCUAGUAAGUGCAUAUAUGUGUGUUCACAUGUGUUGGAGAACAACCUCAGGUGUUGUUCUCUGGAGCUGCCCACCCCAUCCCUACCCGCUUUUAAGAUUUAUUUUUUUAAAUUUAUGUGUAAAGGUUGUGUGCAGGUACCCAUAGAGGCCAGAAGAGGGCUGUGGUGCCCACGCCACGACUAAGUCUGGGUAUCAAAAAAGCUUGGAGAUUUAAUUAAAUGCAGAGACAUCCAGCCACUUGUGCUAUGUGCGUCCCUCCAACUUUAUUCAUCUUCUUUAUUCCAGGGGGAGAGCAGCCUUAUAUACACUUACAACACAGUGGGAAAACCCCAGGUGUAAGAGCGCAUAGAAGAAGAGCUCCUGUUUUCCCAGGUGUAGUGGUGUGAGGCCGGGGCUGUAAGCCAGGACUAGAAAACAGGAUGCACCUGUGGCUAUUGGCUGACAAGCAACUCACAGAGACCCCAUGGAGGCUGGGGCCCAACAGAAUCCCCUGGUGCUGAGGCAGUAAAGUUCCCUGACAUGAGUGCUGGGAACUAAACUCAGAUCCUCUGCAAAAGCAACAAGCAUUCUUAACUGCUGAGCCAUCUCUCCAAUGGUCUUCCUUGUUUUUUUUCUUACAGAUAUAUUGUAUUUUAAACUAUGUGUCUUUGUGGGUGUUGCACACCUACAGAAGUCACAGACAACAGAACCCCUAGAGUAGCAGUUCCAGGCCAUUGUGAGCUGCCUAAUACUAUAUUCAUGAUGAUCUUGUCUGCUGAGAGCAUAGGUGGUGGAAUCCAUGGAGUACAUACCUUUACAAUCUCAGGAACUUGGUUUUUGGCAUCCCUAAAGUCAGUAUUUUUUAACUGCUUUUAAAUGUAAUCAGAAAUUGCAUCUCAGUAUGAGGACUGUAGAUGUUCCGACACCAAUCUCCAAAGGCAUCCAGAAGCACCGGCCUGGCCUGCAGCAUCUACAUCCAGAUCUUUCCCAAAAGAAGAGGGUGACUCUGCAGCUGACCCCAUCUCCCUUGAGUUAUCCCUUCUGGAGGGAACCAGUAUCUGACCUUUGUUAAGCCUGGAAAUCCUGGAGUCAGCUAGCUUGGAGAGAAUCAGAAAUGUCUCAUGCUUUUGAGGCAGUAACUCAAGCAAAUGGUCACUUAUCAUCUACAGUAGUGCUAAAUAUAUUCACAAUGCUGUACAGUCAAUCUCUAGAACUUUUUUUAUUUUUGAGACAUGGUCUUGCUACAUAGCCCAGGCUGGCCUUGAGCACAAACACACUCACUACCUUUUUUGAGGUCCUAGAGAUUGAACCAAGGACUUCAUGUUUGCUUGGCAAAUGCUCUCCCACUAAGCUAUACACCCCAGCUCAGGGUCUUGCACUCUUGGUCCUCCCAUCUCAGCUCUCCAAGUGCUGGGAUUACAGGCCUAUAUCUCCAUGCUCCAACUGUAAACUUUUUCAUUUGGCCAAACUGGAAGUGUAUACCCACUAACAACAGCUUCCCAUUUCCUCUUUGCCUCUGCCCUACCCACCCAUCCCCAGUCCCUGACAGCUACUUUUCUACUUUCUGUUUUUGGUCUUUGGCUAUUCUAGAUUGCUCAUGUAAGUAAACAAAGCAUUAUGUGUUCUUUUGUGCAGUGUUGUGCUGCUAGAUGACUCUCCAGGGGAAAUAUAAAAUUAAUAUCUGCCUCCAAACUGAGAUGGCACCAACAGUCCAAAGAAUGACUCAUUCAAGCUUACCUGCUGGGUAAAAUGAGUUUAUUUGGGUUACUUACAGAUUGGUGAGUUUAGCUGAUCACACAUGGCUACAAAGCCUCUGUUUUCUAUGACUCAAGUGCAAGCUUAGCUUUGCGCACCACCCAGUGUCAAGGCAACACAGACAGGGCCAGACUCUGGCAAAAGUAUCUGUUCACAUGUCUUCUGACCUUUCUCUUAUCAGGGAGUCUCUGGUCUCAGCAGACUGUUUGACUGUCUUGUUUUAUUGCAGUCUGGCCAGUAUAUCAGAUAAAUUGUAGCUUGCAACAAAAUGGAGUCACCCUGGCUGGGAUUCAGAAGGCUAGUCUCAGUACAUUGACUUGUUUCAUGUAACAGUGUCUGCAUGGUUCACUCGUGUUAGAGUGUGAAUUUCCUCCUAAGACAAUAAUAUUUCACUUUAUAAACAUACUUUUAGAUACCAUCCAUCAAUUUAUCUGUUCAAUUCUAGUACACGUGUAACAGUAUCAGAACUGCUAACCCAUACAACCCCUGGGAAACAGCUUUAUGAAAGAGCACAGGGCUAGGUGCCAACUGCUCUAGGCUUUAAGAUGGUGAUGAGCUCCACUCAUUUCCAAAAAUUCUUAAAGUGCUUUCUCUGAACUCCCUUUAAGUAUGAUUGUUUCAAACAUUUUACUACAGUGAUAUUAUAAGCCUCUCAAACCACACAAGUGGCCAGGCCCCUCCCACAAGGACCUCUAACUGCCAGGUUCCACCCACAGAAUACUCUGUCCUAACUGCUGGACCCUGCCCCAACCUACAGAGUAAAAAGCGCAAUCUGUGGACAUGAAAUCCCACUAAUCACCAACCUGGAAAGCUCCACCCUGAAAAGUUCCACUUGCUUCCCAGGAAACUCUACACAAGCCCUGUAUUCUGUUCAGUUUGCUGCGGUUUCUUGUUCAAGCAGAGGCAGCCGCCCUCCUGGUUUUUUCCCUCCCAAUAAAUCUCUUGUGUGA